AUUCAGAUAGCUUAAAUUUAAAGCCUGGUAUUGAAGAUACCAUGAUAAGAUUAUCUUUCUGGGUA
rnacentral:tRNA from 1 species